rnacentral:rRNA from 1 species
CCUACGGGCGGCAGCAGUGGGGAAUAUUGCACAAUGGGCGAAACCCUGAUGCAGCGACGCCGCGUGAACGAUGACUUAUCUCGGUAUGUAAAGCUCUAUCAGCAGGGGAAUAGAAAGACGGUCCCUGACUAAGCAGCCCCGACUAACUACGUGCCAGCAGCCGCGGUAAGACGUAGGGGGCGAGCGUUAUCCGGAUUUACUGGGUGUAAAGGGAGCGUAGACGGCUGUGCAAGUCUGAAGUGAAAGCCCAGGGCUCAACCCUGGGACUGCUUUGGAAACUGGCGAGCUAGAGUGCUGUAGAGGUAAGUGGAAUUCGUAGUGUAGCGGUGAAAUGCGUAGAUAUUAGGAGGAACACCAGUGGCGAAGGCGGCUUACUGGACAGUAACUGACGUUGAGGCUCGAAAGCGUGGGGAGCAAACAGGAUUAGAUACCCGGGUAGUC